AGCUGGACACGGCACAAACAAGAGUUCAGACAACAGAUUCAACAGCUGGUUCAUCACUCUCACUCUGCUGAUGCUGUGUGUUUGCGACUUUACGUGUCAACUCACUGGAUUCCAAGCUUCUUGCGGUGACUGAGGGCAAAACCAUCAUUGGUCUCGUAGGAAGCGCAAUGCGUCAUGGCAGACGAUGGUGACCCCGUACAGGGUGGACACAGGCAGGUCCUUCCGCCUCAGCAGCUGCUCCAGCAGCCAGAUCAGUGCACAGAAAAUACAGAAGUAGGCCGCCCGACUGUAGGCCACCAGCUGGUUGUGACCCUGGGGAGACACACGCACGGGCACACACAGGUCAGGAUGCUGGGAGGUCGAGCCUGAUUUCCAACGCAGUAAUAUAACAGCUACAGCAAGAUACUACUACGAACACUUCUUCAAAUUUGGGUCAUAUUGGGUUGAGCGUCCAUGUGUCUUGCAUUUAAUGUGUUUUCACAGUAACAUGACACAACUAAGAGAGCACCCAAGAGGGUCAGAUCCUCUGUAACCACAUCGCUGGUGCAUCAGUCAAAACACAGCAAAACGAAUAAUGCGCAAAAGGGAACUGUUUUGUAAUUCAUGACAUCAUAUGCCAGAGACUAACAACAUGCAAAACUGAAGACGAAGUUGAAACAAAACAACAGGGAUAUAUGCGACAUUACAUUUCCCAAAUAUUGGUAAUUAUCAUACAACCUAAUAUGAUUUUUUUCUAGUUUGUUCAUUUUUGCUUCAUUUGUAAUAUUUCUUCUGAGAUUCAGUGACAAAGUAUCGUUAAACUCACAUGUGUUGGUGAGGCUGCAUCUGGUUGAACACUCUGGAAAACAAAACCACAGAAGCCAACACUGAAUUACCAAAAUUAAAACGAAAACAACUGAAAACAGCAGUGAUACUCUACAGUUCAAGAGAGAGGAGUAAGGAAUACUGGCAGCUGGCGAUGACCAGGCAAAACUGAAAGACCCAGAAGUCUUUGAAGCAGCCGUGGUUGAGAAGCACAAAACCGAGGAAGGACACCAGGA